rnacentral:rRNA from 1 species
CGGACGGGUGAGUAAUGUCUGGGAAACUGCCUGAUGGAGGGGGGUAACUACUGGAAACGGUAGCUAAUACCGCAUAACGUCGCAAGACCAAAGAGGGGGACCUUCGGGCUCUUGCCAUCGGAUGUGCCCAGAUGGGAUUAGCUAGUAGGUGGGGUAACGGCUCACCUAGGCGACGAUCCCUAGCUGGUCUGAGAGGAUGACCAGCCACACUGGAACUGAGACACGGUCCAG